GUCGGCUUGCAGUUUGGGGUACCCCGAGGGCGGUGUACGUCGGUAAGAUUGUAACGGGAUUACUGGAAGACUUACUCGACUGUCCUGAUGAUACUUGUAAUAGGAAGUGCCGUCAGAAGCGAUAACUGACGACGUUUAACGUCUAUCUGACCGCAGUCGCUGAAACCUCUACAACUUAGUUGACCAUAACUGCCAGAACCUGCCCUGAAUUCCUGUCCUUCACUCCCUCUUUCAGAUUGCCUGCCCACCGCAGAGUGCUGAAGACGGGGUAGCCAUGAGGUUGCAAAUUGGUGAAGAAUCAGCAGCAUGUUUGGCAGCUGAGUAUUGGAGCAAGGAGCCUGCCACAAGGUUUUGAGAACAGAGUGCCGUUUUAGAGCCGGCGGCAGCAUCUUAGCCCAAAAGAAGGUUAUAUUCCCAGAGGAUGUCAAUCCCAAGGACCAGUAGCUGCCGUCAGUUUGGAUUAUGAAAACUUUAACCAGCAUCAACAUUGGGUGUAGAAACAUGAUUGCUUUGUGUAUCAGAGGACAUGCUCAGCAGGUCCAAGAGAUAUAUUUGGCAACUUUUUCUAGAAAAGGCACAUUGGGUAUCAUUCAUUACAUUCUUGAGUUUUUUUGGUUUUUUUUUUUUUUUUUUUUUUUGAGACAGUCUUGCUGUGUUGCCCAGGCUGGAAUGUGGUGGCACAAUCACAGCUCAUUGCAGCCUCAAUCACCCAGGCCUAAGCAAUCCUCCCACCUUGUAGCUGGGACUAUAGCUCACAGCACAUCUGGCUAAAAUUUUUUUUUUUGUUGAGGCGGAUUUACUGUGUUACCCAGGCUGGUCUCAAGCUCCUGGGCUCAGAUGGUCCUCCUGCCUCAGCUUCCAAAGGCAUAGGCCACGUUGUAGCUUUGUCCCUUGCCAUCCUGCCCAACAGGGGGUGCCGUACCUUUUAAUGAACUGACUUUCAUAAAUUGGUUAUGUUGGUGGGCAAGUUCUUUAAGUCGGAAAUUGUAAAUUCUUCCUGAAAUGUUUUUUCAUGCAGUUACCAUGAACUAAUACUACAAUAAAGGAUGGUCUUGGGUAUCGAUUCUU